rnacentral:rRNA from 1 species
AUUGAACGCUGGCGGCAGGCCUAACACAUGCAAGUCGAACGAGUGGCGGACGGGUGAGUAAUAUGUGGGAACAUGCCCGAUGGGGGGGGAUAACUACAGGAAACGGUAGCUAAUACCGCAUCCGAUCGGAUGUGCGCCGAUGGGAUUAGCUUGGAGGUGAGGUAACGGCUCACCUAGGCGACGCUCCCUAGCUGGUCUGAGAGGAUGAUCAGCAACACUGGAACUGAGACACGGUCCAGACUCCUACGGGAGGCAGCAGUGGGGAAUAGUGCACAAUGGGCGCAAGCCUGAUGCAGCCAUGCCGCGUGUAUGAAGAAGGCCUUCGGGUUGUAAAGUACUUUCAGCGGGGAGGCGUUACCCGCAGAAGAAGCACCGGCUAACUCCGUGCCAGCAGCCGCGGUAAUUC